CAGUAGCCACGGUAAUACGGAGGGUGCAAGCGUUAAUCGGAAUUACUGGGCGUAAAGCGCACGCAGGCGGUCUGUCAAGUCAGAUGUGAAAUCCCCGGGCUUAACCUGGGAACUGCAUUUGAAACUGGCAGGCUAGAGUCUUGUAGAGGGGGGUAGAAUUCCAGGUGUAGCGGUGAAAUGCGUAGAGAUCUGGAAGAAUACCGGUGGCGAAGGCGGCCCCCUGGACAAAGACUGACGCUCAGGUGCGAAAGCGUGGGGAGCAAACAGGAUUAGAUACCCCAGUAGUCCCUGUCUCUUAUAC
rnacentral:rRNA from 1 species